AGGAGGGCACGGUAAUGAAAAAUACGGUAACUAGUGUGCGCCUGCGCGGCCUCUGAAAACUCGGUGGCUGCCAGCUGGCUCAGAUCAGCUGUUGUGGAGGCGCUUGUGUGUAUGUUUCCUUUUACUGAUAAGCGGUGAUACAGUGGCUUGAUUGAUCACAGCCACAUCCUUGUUGGCUGACCAUACAGCACUGGAGUAGGUGCCUCCCUGCAGCAUAUCACCAGCAAGGCUCUUUCAUCAUUCAGAAAGGUACAGACAUGGAACGUGCACAAUUGACUUCACAAUGUUCUGCAAAUUUUUCUCACCCUCCUUUGGUGUGGCAUCAUCAGCACACAAGUAUGUUGACAUAUUGAAGCUUCAUCCUCCGUGAAGAACUGAACCAGGUAUUGGCUGUUUGUACUGAUUACUCUCCAGACAAGCCAGUUGCAAGACACUUCUCCCCACCAAGUUGGACUACUGCAAGCCAUAAUAUAUGUCCAUACGUACUGAAGGAGACAAAGACAAGGAGGAAGAACCUGAGGCACAGGAUCUAUAUUUAGCAAAGAAACUGUUGAAGAGUUUCCUUGAAUGCUUCAAGGGAUUUCUGGUAAACACAUCAUCCCUGAGCCCUACUUCUAUUGACCUUAGCAUCCCAAUCAUCACAGACCUUAUUAAGCAUUCAUUCAAAGGUCAAGAGGACAGUUUUAAGGACAAGGCGCUUAUAAACGUCUUCCUCAAUCUUGGACAUGAACAAAGCUUCCUCAAGAGGAGAGUGGGUGCCCUGUCUAGCAGCUACUGCUGUAAAAUUAUUUUUACAUGCAUCAGGGUGCUUAACUUUUAAAGCAUCACCACUCAGAUGAGCUACCUGGAGCUCAAGAAGCAGUUUGAGAAAAAAGAGAGUAGCAUCAUGGGAGAAAAAAAACGGAAACAUGCUGUCCUUGUCCUCUGAGAAGAUCAAAAAGAUCUUAAAGUCUCCUGCUAUAAAGACGGUCCUUCAAAAUGCUGCCGACUCGCUUGAGAAUGAGAGCUUAAGACCAAUAACUACAUCAAGCUUUAUUAAGCUGAGGGACGCACUCGUAACAAGCCUUUUUGUUUCGCUCUCUAAGGAGAGCACAAGAGUUUAGAGUUCACUGUCCAAGAGUGGAAUGACAGGUCUCAGACAGGAGAUGAGACUUUCAUAAAAAUAAGAAUACACAAGACUAUGACCUAUGGUGGCGCCGACAUUGUGCUCAUUUAUGUCAAGGAGAGGGCACUUAAGGCCUAUAUGCAAUAUGCAAGGCCAAUAAUAAACAUCUUGCCAGCUGGAUUCCUGCCCCGUGUUCAUCACCUCCAGUACAUCCACAAGUCACAAGGAGUGCUGUGGAAAAAUGAAUAUAUCAAACAUCACCUCCAUUCUGAGGAAGCUCUCUCUGAAGGCGGGAGUAGUGUCCAGGAGGGUCAACACCAGGAUGUUGAGAUCUACAAUCUCCUCUGCCUGGAAAAUAAACAAAGUUCCUGCUUUCAGGCAGGAGCUUUCUCAACUGGCAGGCCACAGUUAUGAGACCGCUAGGCUAUACCAUUUAUGACACCAGAGAACAGGCACGCAAUGUAGUGAGCAAGCUCAAGGAGUAUAGGGAGAAGGAAGGAAGGAAGGAAGAAGGAAAAAAAGAGGAUGAGGGUGCUGCACCUGAAAGAGCUGCCGAAAUCUACUCAUCCGAGUAGACUUCGUGGCUCCUCUUCCACCCCCUGUAAUAAGGUGGGUGCAGCUUCAGCAUUGAGAGCAAGGAUCCAUCUCCACACUGGUCUUCAGGAAGGGACCUUGAGUAUUCCAAGCCUUCCUCACUGCAUGGGCCAGGCCAGUGGUAGUGACACACCCAAGUACUCUGGGGGAGAGAUGCAAACCCCAAAAUAUAUAGUCUGCUUCAUGUGUUUACAUUAAUAAAUUUAGUCAG